GUAGGCCCUGGGACACAGCGGGCAGUCUUCUGAACCUUGGCUCUGACCCAAACCAGAUCAUCCCUCUGGGCGGGGAAUCAGAAUCGUCAGUUACCUCUGGGUGUCACAAUGCAGUGGUGUCAGCAUGCCACACGUCUUCACGAGGAGCCAUCUUCUCCAUGACUGGGGUAAUGGUGCUGGGAGAGGUCCACGCCCUUCCCUCCUUUCCCCUUUCCGGGUCUCAAACCGCAGAAGCAGCACCACCCUCUGCCGUUCUCAUCCAGCCCUGGACCCACUCUGCGGCCUCCUUAACCAGCCUCGGCCCCUCCUGGGUCUGCAGCUGCUGGCCGCAGGAUCAACACAUCAGCAGGUCUGCUGGCUCUGGCAAGAGGAAGCUGAUGUCCACACUGGUCUAAUUGGGUUGGGGAAGGAAGAUGGAGUACGUGGAUGUGAGGCUGCCCCAGCACCUCCACUCCUCUCACACAGGCCCGAGAUUCCUUGGUUUUAAGAUGGGAGGAUUUGGUCACCUGGAAUCAGCGACAUCCUGCAUCCCUGGAUGGAUGACCUUUACUGAAAGGCCUGGGUCUGCAAGCUAAAUGCUUCCU